rnacentral:rRNA from 1 species
GAUGAACGUUGGCGGUGUGCCUAAUACAUGCAAGUCGAACGGAGUUAGUAGCAAUACUGGCUCAGUGGCGAACGGGUGAGUAACGCGUUGGUGAUCUGCCUUGAAGUGUGGAAUAACGCUUCGAAAGAGACGCUAAUACCGCAUAUGCUCUCGAUUUUCAGAAAGUUGAGAGUAAAGGAUUUAUUCGCUUCAAGAGGAGCCUGCGUCCCAUCAGCUGGUUGGUAGGGUAACGGCCUACCAAGGCUAUGACGGGUAGGGGACCUGAGAGGGUGGCCCCCCACAAUGGAACUGAAACACGGUCCAUACACCUACGGGUGGCAGCAGUAGGGAAUAUUAGAAAUGGACGAAAGUCUGAUCUAGCAACACCGCGUGUGCGAAGAAGGCCUUCGGGUCGUAAAGCACUUUUUGGAAGGAAUAGGAAGGAAUGUACUUCCAGAAUAAGUCUCGGCUAACUACGUG